CGUGACGGGUGAGUAACACGUGGGUAACCUACCUAUAAGACUGGGAUAACUUCGGGAAACCGGAGCUAAUACCGGAUAAUAUUUCGAACCGCAUGGUUCGAUAGUGAAAGAUGGUUUUGCUAUCACUUAUAGAUGGACCUGCGCCGUAUUAGCUAGUUGGUAAGGUAACGGCUUACCAAGGCGACGAUACGUAGCCGACCUGAGAGGGUGAUCGGCCACACUGGAACUGAGACACGGUCCAGACUCCUACGGGAGGCAGCAGAG
rnacentral:rRNA from 1 species